UACAGAGGUCCCGAGCGUUGUUCGGAUUCAUUGGGCGUAAAGAGCUCGUAGGCGGCCACUCAAGUCGAAUGUGAAACCUCGAGGCUUAACCUCGAGCUUGCAUUCGAUACUGGGCGGCUAGAGUCUGGUAGGGGGAUCUGGAAUUCCUGGUGUAGCGGUGGAAUGCGCAGAUAUCAGGAGGAACACCGGUGGCGAAGGCGGGUCUCUGGGCAGUAACUGACGCUGAGGAGCGAAAGCGUGGGGAGCAAACAGG
rnacentral:rRNA from 1 species